UAUUACAGUACCACAGUUAACCACAGUAUUUGUAGUCAAACUGCAGUAACCAAAAUUUACCAUGGUAAUAAUAAUACAUUUUAGUACUUAUGUAACACCAUGU